GCCCCAUCUGGUCUGUUCUCUCAAGCUAAGCACGGUAUGGCCUGGUUAGUACUUGGAUG
rnacentral:rRNA from 1 species